rnacentral:rRNA from 1 species
UACGUAGGGGGCUAGCGUUGUCCGGAAUCAUUGGGCGUAAAGAGCUCGUAGGCGGUCUGUCACGUCGGAUGUGAAAGCCCGGGGCUUAACCCCGGGUCUGCAUUCGAUACGGGCAGACUAGAGUGUGGUAGGGGAGAUCGGAAUUCCUGGUGUAGCGGUGAAAUGCGUAGAUAUUGGGAGGAACACCGGUGGCGAAGGCGGCCCCCUGGACCGGUACUGACGCUGAGGCGCGAAAGCGUGGGUAGCAAACGGG